AGCUCCACUAGCGUAUAUUAAAGUUGUUGCAGUUAAAAAGCUCGUAGUUGAACUUCUGGUUGUGCGCCAGUGGUCGGUCAUCGAUCGCCCUGGGUGCAGCCAUCCGUCUGCAAACUUUUACAUCCUUAACUGGUUUGUCUAAGGGAGCAGGCAUUUUACUUUGAAAAAAUUAGAGUGUUUAAGGCAGGCACUAGCCGCUGAAUACAUUAGCAUGGAAUAAUGGAAUAGGACGCUUUGUCCAUUUGAUUGGUUAUUGGACUUGCGUAAUGAUUAAUAGGGACAGUUGGGGGCAUUAGUAUUUAAUUGUCAGAGGUGAAAUUCUUGGAUUUAUUAAAGACUAACUUAUGCGAAAGCAUUUGCCAAGGAUGUUUUCA
rnacentral:rRNA from 1 species